UACGGAAGGGGCUAGCGUUGUUCGGAAUUACUGGGCGUAAAGAGCGCGUAGGCGGCUUACCAAGUUGGGGGUGAAAUCCCGGAGCUCAAAUCCGGAACUGCCUUCAAAACUGGUAGGCUCGAGUCCGGAAGAGGGGCGUGGAAUUCCCAGUGUAGAGGUGAAAUUCGUAGAUAUUGGGAAGAACACCGUUCGCGAAGGCGGCGCCCUGGUCCGGUACUGACGCUGAGGCGCGAAAGCGUGUGGAGCAAACAGG
rnacentral:rRNA from 1 species